GAGUUUGAUCCUGGCUCAGGAUGAACGCUGGCGGCGUGCCUAACACAUGCAAGUCGAGCGGCAGCGAGUUUCUCACUGUUUGUUCCUCUUCUUUCGAGAGCAGGAUGCGGAGAUUUCCGAAAGAAAUUGGUCGUAUCCAAUACGAAGGAGGAAAUCUGGUAGAUGAUUUUUGUUAAGAUGAGAGGAAAAAACUGUGAGGAAUGUCGGCGAGCGGCGGACGGCUGAGUAACGCGUGGGAACAUACCCCAAAGUGAGGGAUAACUGCCCGAAAGGGUGGCUAAUACCGCAUAUGAUCUUCGGAUUAAAGCAUUUAUGCGCUUUGGGAAUGGCCUGCGUCGGAUUAGGUAGUUGGUGAGGUAAAGGCUCACCAAGCCGACGAUCCGUAACUGGUUUGAGAGGAUGACCAGUCAGAUUGGAACUGAGACACGGUCCAGACUCCUACGGGAGGCAGCAGUGAGGAAUCUUCCACAAUGGGCGAAAGCCUGAUGGAGCAACGCCGCGUGCAGGAUGAAAGCCUUCGGGUUGUAAACUGCUUUUAUGAUUGAGGAAUUUGACGGUAGAUCGUGAAUAAGGAUCGGCUAACUACGUGCCAGCAGCCGCGGUCAUACGUAGGAUCCGAGCGUUAUCCGGAGUGACUGGGCGUAAAGAGUUGCGUAGGUGGUUUAUUAAGUAGGUGAUGAAAGCUGGUGGCUCAACCAUUCAGAUUGUUAUCUAAACUGGUAAACUUGAGAGUAGCAGAGGUAACUGGAAUUUCUAGUGUAGGAGUGAAAUCCGUAGAUAUUAGAAGGAACACCAAUGGCGUAGGCAGGUUACUGGGCUAUUUCUGACACUAAGGCACGAAAGCGUGGGGAGCGAACGGGAUUAGAUACCCCGGUAGUCCACGCCCUAAACGAUGGAUACUAGCUGUUUGAGGAAUCGACCCCUUGAGUAGCGAAGCUAACGCGUUAAGUAUCCCGCCUGUGGAGUACGAUCGCAAGAUUAAAACAUAAAGGAAUUGACGGGGACCCGCACAAGCGGUGGAGCAUGUUCUUUAAUUCGAUGCUAAUCGAUAUACCUUACCAAGGCUUGACAUCUCGGGAAGGCCUCCGAAAGGAGACUGUGCCUUUUAGGAACCCGAUGACAGGUGAUGCAUGGCCGUCGUCAGCUCGUGUCGUGAGAUGUUUGGUUAAGUCCAUUAACGAGCGCAACCCUUGCAACUAGUUGGAUUUUUCUAGUUGGACUGCCCCGGUAACGGGGAGGAAGGAGGGGAUGAUGUCAGGUCAUUAUUUCCCUUACGCCUUGGGCUAGAAACGUGCUACAAUGGCUGGUACAAAGUGCCUAAGCGAACUCGCGAGAGCAAGCAAAUCACAUCAAAACCAGUCCUAGUUCGGAUUGGAGGCUGAAACUCGCCUCCAUGAAGUCGGAAUCGCUAGUAAUCGUAAAUCAGCAAGUUACGGUGAAUACGUUCCCGGGUCUUGUACACACCGCCCGUCAAACCAUGAGAGUGACCAACACCCGAAGUCCGAUUCGUCGGCCUAAGGUGGGGGGCAUGAUUGGGGCUAAGUCGUAACAAGGUC
rnacentral:rRNA from 1 species